GCGCGUAGGCGGGUCGUUUAGUUAGAUGUGAAAACCCGGGGUCCACCCUGGAAUUGCCUUUUGAACUGGCGGCCUUGAGUAUGGGAAAAGUGUGUGGAACUCCUGGUGUAAGGUGAAAUUGCUAGAUAUUCGGAAAACACCAGUGGCGAAGGCGACCUCCUGGGCAAUUACUGACGCUGAAGCGCGAAAGCGUGGGGAGCAAACAGGAUUAAAUACCCUGGUAAUCCACGCUGUAAACCAUGAGUGCUAAUUGUCGGCAUGCGUGCAUGUCUUUGACGCAGCUACUACAUUAAUCACUCCGCCUGGGGAGUACGGUCGCAAGAUUGAUACUCAUAGGAAUUGACGGGGGCCCCCCCCACCGGUGGAGCAUGUGGUUUAUUUCUUCGCAACGCGCAGAACCUUACCACCUUUUGACGUGCCUGGACCGCCUGUCAUGUAAAGUUUUCCCUUCUUGGACUACGACGCACGUGCUGCAUGGCUGUCGUCACCUCGUGUGCCGAGAUGUUGGGUUAAGUCCCGCAACGAGCGCAACCCUCGCUGUUAUU
rnacentral:rRNA from 1 species